rnacentral:rRNA from 1 species
AUUGAACGCUGGCGGCAGGCCUAACACAUGCAAGUCGAGCGGAUGAGGAAAGCUUGCUUUUCGAUUCAGCGGCGGACGGGUGAGUAAUGCCUAGGAAUCUGCCUGUUAGUGGGGGAUAACUCGGGGAAACUCGUGCUAAUACCGCAUACGUCCUACGGGAGAAAGUGGGGGAUCUUCGGACCUCACGCUAACAGAUGAGCCUAGGUCGGAUUAGCUAGUAGGUGAGGUAAUGGCUCACCUAGGCGACGAUCCGUAACUGGUCUGAGAGGAUGAUCAAGCACACUGGAACUGAGACACGGUCCAAACUCCUACGGGAGGCAGCAGUGGGGAAUAUUGGACAAUGGGCGAAAGCAUGAUCCAGCCAUGCCGCGUGUGUGAAGAAGGUCUUCGGAUUGUAAAGCACUUUAAGUUGGGAGGAAGGGUAUUCACCUAAUACGUGGGUACUUUGACGUUACCAACAGAAUAAGCACCGGCUAACUCUGUGCCAGCAGCCGCCGUAAUAC